CUAGACCAGCCAUGGCUCAGUGUGGGAGGGAAACUCAGACAUGAACAUAAGGAGGUGAAGGUUACUGAGCUCUGCCUUAGGCAUUGGAUACUAGACCUGAUGUUAAGUCCACCUGCCCUUCUCUCUGUAAACCGAAGUCUUCUUGAGUCCUUUUCAUGUAACUUCUAAAAUUCAGAUGAUUUGUUAUCGCUCCUAAAAUCGCCAACAAUUCUUUUGAAAAUUUUCCAGUUCUCUGUGAAGAAUCGUCCAGUCUCUGUAUGGAUGGGGACGGGAAACAUAUAAGACAAUAAUAUGUCAGCAUCUCAUGAGUGUACAGGGAGCUUCAAGGAUUAAACAAAAUACAUCACCUCCCCACUGCCUUCCACGAAGCAUACGUUCCAAGACUUCCAGUGGAUGCCUGAAGCCACAGGAGUUCCAGCAGAGCCAGAGGCGACAGUACCACCAGCAGCGAUGACAAACUGAAGACUUCACUCAAAGGUGA